rnacentral:tRNA from 1 species
GCCGGGAUGGCGGAAUUGGUAUACGCGCAGGUCUCAAAAACCUGUCCCGCUCAAACGGGGUGUGGGUUCGACCCCCACUCCCGGCA